AAACUGGAGAGUUUGAUCCUGGCUCAGAACAAACGCUGGCGGCGUGCCUAACACAUGCAAGUCGUACGAGAAAGUCCGCUUCGGUGGAUGAGUAAAGUGGCGCACGGGUGAGUAACGCGUGGAUAAUCUACCCUUUAGUCUGGAAUAACUUAUCGAAAGGUGAACUAAUACCGGAUAAUAUCCCGAUUUCUUCGGCGAUCGGGAUCAAAGAAGGCCUCUGCUUGCAAGCUUUCACUGAAGGAUGAGUCCGCGUACCAUUAGCUAGUUGGCAGGGUAAUGGCCUACCAAGG
rnacentral:rRNA from 1 species